AUUGAACGCUGGCGGCAUGCCUUACACAUGCAAGUCGAACGGCAGCGGGGGAGAAGCUUGCUCUUCCUGCCGGCGAGUGGCGAACGGGUGAGUAAUACAUCGGAACGUGCCCUGUAGUGGGGGAUAACUAGUCGAAAGAUCAGCUAAUACCGCAUACGACCUGAGGGUGAAAGUGGGGGACCGCAAGGCCUCAUGCUAUAGGAGCGGCCGAUGUCUGAUUAGCUAGUUGGUGGGGUAAAGGCCUACCAAGGCGACGAUCAGUAGCUGGUCUGAGAGGACGAUCAGCCACACUGGGACUGAGACACGGCCCAGACUCCUACGGGAGGCAGCAGUGGGGAAUUUUGGACAAUGGGCGAAAGCCUGAUCCAGCAAUGCCGCGUGUGUGAAGAAGGCCUUCGGGUUGUAAAGCACUUUUGUCCGGAAAGAAAUGGCUCUGGUUAAUACCUGGGGUCGAUGACGGUACCGGAAGAAUAAGGACCGGCUAACUACGUGCCAGCCGCCGCGGUAA
rnacentral:rRNA from 1 species